AUAAAGACAACUCAAAAUUUCUUUAAUAUGGUAUGAUAUUAUUUGUUCUGGGUCAAAUCUGUUAUUUUACUUUUUUUUGGUCGAAAAGAAAUACUUAUAUAUUAAAAGAUUAAAAUAUUACAUUAAUACAGGGAGCAAGAUGCCUGGCAUGCAUUUUAGUACCUAAACUAGUACUACUAAAAUCUACUACAAGUACCCCUACAUGGGAUUCAUUGCUAGACAUAGCAUAAGUAUUACAAACAAAAAACAAAGCAGAUGUCAUUUGUGGAAUAAUACUGUUGAAAAUAUGGUUGUUCUUGUUAACGAGCCGCCUGUGCAUUGUUCCCGCUAGAUCAUCCUGACAAAAAGUGAUGUUGCGACAAAAGAGAUGCAACUAUUGGUAACUGCCUGUUUGGCUCCAUAUUUAGCUAGACUAUCCGCAAUACUAUUUUGUUCCUUGUAGACAUGUUGGAGAGAAGGCUUAUCCAGCUUUUGAAGCAAUAACCUGCAAUCAUAUAGAAUGUUAGUGUGUUGCACAUUAGGCGUAUUUAACAUACCAAUGAAGUCGUUGUUGGAAAUAGGAGGCUAUAUAUAUAUAUAUAUAUAUAUAUAUAUAUAUAUAUAUGUAUUAUUUGUGGAAGAGAGGAUUGAUGAUUUAGAAGCUUGAUUGAUCUUGAAUGCUUUGC
rnacentral:lncRNA from 1 species